rnacentral:rRNA from 1 species
AUAAGCGGAGGAAAAGAAACUAACAAGGAUUCCCCUAGUAACGGCGAGUGAAGAGGGAAGAGCUCAAAUUUAAAAUCUGGCGGUCUACGGCCGUCCGAGUUGUAAUCUAGAGAGGUGUUUUCCGUGCCGGACCGUGUACAAGUCCCUUGGAACAGGGCGUCAUAGAGGGUGAGAAUCCCGUCCAUGACACGGACUCCCGGUGCUUUGCGAUACACCUUCGAAGAGUCGAGUUGUUUGGGAAUGCAGCUCAAAAUGGGUGGUAAAUUCCAUCUAAAGCUAAAUAUAGGCGAGAGACCGAUAGCGAACAAGUACCGUGAGGGAAAGAUGAAAAGAACUUUGGAAAGAGAGUUAAACAGUACGUGAAAUUGUUGAAAGGGAAACGCUUGAAGUCAGUCGCGUCCGCAGGGACUCAGCCUUGCUUCUGCUUGGUGUAUUUCUCUGCGGAUGGGCCAGCAUCGAUUUUAGUCGCCGGAAAAGGGCGGGAGGAAUGUGGCAGCUUGCUGUGUUAUAGCCUCUCGUCGUACACGGUGACCGGGAUCGAGGUCUGCAGCACGCCUUUUGGUCGGGGUUCGCCCACGCCACGUGCUUAGGAUGCUGGCGUAAUGGCUUUAAACGACCCGUCUUGAAACACGGACCAAGGAGUCUAACGUGCCUGCGAGUGU